rnacentral:lncRNA from 1 species
UGGUUGUUUUGACUACACUUCUAAUUAUAAAAAGAUACAUGGAAACAUGAAAGUAAAGUAAAGACUCAGUAAAAUGUUUACUCUUCUCUUUUCAUGGUUGUCCUUGUGUAAAUUUUAGCUCACAUUAGCUCAAAAUUUUCUCCCAAAUCUCACUCAAACAAUAGCUUUCAAAAUUCACACAAACAUUUAGAGAAUUUUAUCUAUUUAAAAACAAACAUUAGGUUAUUCUUUUUUUUUUUUUUGGUAUAUACCUAUUUUCUGUACCCCAGUUUAACAGAAAUAUAUAUAUCUUUUUUUUUGGGUAAAGUAGAAAUAAACAUCUUGUGUCUUAACAAGACAAAACACAUCUUACCAUCAAGAGAUUGCC